rnacentral:rRNA from 1 species
AAACUUUCAACAACGGAUCUCUUGGUUCUGGCAUCGAUGAAGAACGCAGCGAAAUGCGAUAAGUAAUGUGAAUUGCAGAAUUCAGUGAAUCAUCGAAUCUUUGAACGCACAUUGCGCCCCGUGGAAUUCCAGCGGGCAUGCCUGUUCGAGCGUCAUUU